GACGAACGCUGGCGGCGUGCUUAACACAUGCAAGUCGAACGGAAAGGCCCUGCUUUUGUGGGGUGCUCGAGUGGCGAACGGGUGAGUAACACGUGAGUAACCUGCCCUUGACUUUGGGAUAACUUCAGGAAACUGGGGCUAAUACCGGAUAGGAGCUCCUGCUGCAUGGUGGGGGUUGGAAAGUUUCGGCGGUUGGGGAUGGACUCGCGGCUUAUCAGCUUGUUGGUGGGGUAGUGGCUUACCAGGGCUUUGACGGGUAGCCGGCCUGAGAGGGUGACCGGCACAUUGGGGAUGGGGAACGGGCCCAACUCCCACGGGGGGGCAGAGGGGGGAAUAUUUGAAAAAGGGGGGGAGGCCUAAGGCAGAAACCCGGGGGGGGGGAGGAGGGCCUUGGGGUUGAAAACCCUUUUGCCCGUGAAGGAAGGGGGGGGGAGGGAAAUGGGAAAGAAAACCCCGGCAAACUACGG
rnacentral:rRNA from 1 species